rnacentral:rRNA from 1 species
GGUUAAGCGACUAAGCGUACACGGUGGAUGCCCUGGCAGUCAGAGGCGAUGAAGGACGUGCUAAUCUGCGAUAAGCGUCGGUAAGGUGAUAUGAACCGUUAUAACCGGCGAUUUCCGAAUGGGGAAACCCAGUGUGUUUCGACACACUAUCAUUAACUGAAUCCAUAGGUUAAUGAGGCGAACCGGGGGAACUGAAACAUCUAAGUACCCCGAGGAAAAGAAAUCAACCGAGAUUCCCCCAGUAGCGGCGAGCGAACGGGGAGCAGCCCAGAGCCUGAAUCAGUGUGUGUGUUAGUGGAAGCGUCUGGAAAGGCGCGCGAUACAGGGUGACAGCCCCGUACACAAAAAUGCACAUGCUGUGAGCUCGAUGAGUAGGGCGGGACACGUGGUAUCCUGUCUGAAUAUGGGGGGACCAUCCUCCAAGGCUAAAUACUCCUGACUGACCGAUAGUGAACCAGUACCGUGAGGGAAAGGCGAAAAGAACCCCGGCGAGGGGAGUGAAAAAGAACCUGAAACCGUGUACGUACAAGCAGUGGGAGCACGCUUAGGCGUGUGACUGCGUACCUUUUGUAUAAUGGGUCAGCGACUUAUAUUCUGUAGCAAGGUUAACCGAAUAGGGGAGCCGAAGGGAAACCGAGUCUUAACUGGGCGUUAAGUUGCAGGGUAUAGACCCGAAACCCGGUGAUCUAGCCAUGGGCAGGUUGAAGGUUGGGUAACACUAACUGGAGGACCGAACCGACUAAUGUUGAAAAAUUAGCGGAUGACUUGUGGCUGGGGGUGAAAGGCCAAUCAAACCGGGAGAUAGCUGGUUCUCCCCGAAAGCUAUUUAGGUAGCGCCUCGUGAAUUCAUCUCCGGGGUAGAGCACUGUUUCGGCAAGGGGGUCAUCCCGACUUACCAACCCGAUGCAAACUGCGAAUACCGGAGAAUGUUAUCACGGGAGACACACGGCGGGUGCUAACGUCCGUCGUGAAGAGGGAAACAACCCAGACCGCCAGCUAAGGUCCCAAAGUCAUGGUUAAGUGGGAAACGAUGUGGGAAGGCCCAGACAGCCAGGAUGUUGGCUUAGAAGCAGCCAUCAUUUAAAGAAAGCGUAAUAGCUCACUGGUCGAGUCGGCCUGCGCGGAAGAUGUAACGGGGCUAAACCAUGCACCGAAGCUGCGGCAGCGACGCUGAUGCGUUGUUGGGUAGGGGAGCGUUCUGUAAGCCUGCGAAGGUGUGCUGUGAGGCAUGCUGGAGGUAUCAGAAGUGCGAAUGCUGACAUAAGUAACGAUAAAGCGGGUGAAAAGCCCGCUCGCCGGAAGACCAAGGGUUCCUGUCCAACGUUAAUCGGGGCAGGGUGAGUCGACCCCUAAGGCGAGGCCGAAAGGCGUAGUCGAUGGGAAACAGGUUAAUAUUCCUGUACUUGGUGUUACUGCGAAGGGGGACGGAGAAGGCUAUGUUGGCCGGGCGACGGUUGUCCCGGUUUAAGCGUGUAGGCUGGUUUUCCAGGCAAAUCCGGAAAAUCAAGGCUGAGGCGUGAUGACGAGGCACUACGGUGCUGAAGCAACAAAUGCCCUGCUUCCAGGAAAAGCCUCUAAGCAUCAGGUAACAUCAAAUCGUACCCCAAACCGACACAGGUGGUCAGGUAGAGAAUACCAAGGCGCUUGAGAGAACUCGGGUGAAGGAACUAGGCAAAAUGGUGCCGUAACUUCGGGAGAAGGCACGCUGAUAUGUAGGUGAAGUCCCUUGCGGAUGGAGCUGAAAUCAGUCGAAGAUACCAGCUGGCUGCAACUGUUUAUUAAAAACACAGCACUGUGCAAACACGAAAGUGGACGUAUACGGUGUGACGCCUGCCCGGUGCCGGAAGGUUAAUUGAUGGGGUCAGCGCAAGCGAAGCUCUUGAUCGAAGCCCCGGUAAACGGCGGCCGUAACUAUAACGGUCCUAAGGUAGCGAAAUUCCUUGUCGGGUAAGUUCCGACCUGCACGAAUGGCGUAAUGAUGGCCAGGCUGUCUCCACCCGAGACUCAGUGAAAUUGAACUCGCUGUGAAGAUGCAGUGUACCCGCGGCAAGACGGAAAGACCCCGUGAACCUUUACUAUAGCUUGACACUGAACAUUGAGCCUUGAUGUGUAGGAUAGGUGGGAGGCUUAGAAGUGUGGACGCCAGUCUGCAUGGAGCCGACCUUGAAAUACCACCCUUUAAUGUUUGAUGUUCUAACGUUGACCCGUAAUCCGGGUUGCGGACAGUGUCUGGUGGGUAGUUUGACUGGGGCGGUCUCCUCCUAAAGAGUAACGGAGGAGCACGAAGGUUGGCUAAUCCUGGUCGGACAUCAGGAGGUUAGUGCAAUGGCAUAAGCCAGCUUGACUGCGAGCGUGACGGCGCGAGCAGGUGCGAAAGCAGGUCAUAGUGAUCCGGUGGUUCUGAAUGGAAGGGCCAUCGCUCAACGGAUAAAAGGUACUCCGGGGAUAACAGGCUGAUACCGCCCAAGAGUUCAUAUCGACGGCGGUGUUUGGCACCUCGAUGUCGGCUCAUCACAUCCUGGGGCUGAAGUAGGUCCCAAGGGUAUGGCUGUUCGCCAUUUAAAGUGGUACGCGAGCUGGGUUUAGAACGUCGUGAGACAGUUCGGUCCCUAUCUGCCGUGGGCGCUGGAGAACUGAGGGGGGCUGCUCCUAGUACGAGAGGACCGGAGUGGACGCAUCACUGGUGUUCGGGUUGUCAUGCCAAUGGCACUGCCCGGUAGCUAAAUGCGGAAGAGAUAAGUGCUGAAAGCAUCUAAGCACGAAACUUGCCCCGAGAUGAGUUCUCCCUGACUCCUUGAGAGUCCUGAAGGAACGUUGAAGACGACGACGUUGAUAGGCCGGGUGUGUAAGCGCAGCGAUGCGUUGAGCUAACCGGUACUAAUGAACCGUGAGGCUUAACCUU